GCCGAAGUGGCGGAAUUGGCAGACGCGCUAGGUUCAGGUCCUAGUGGGCAUUAGGCCCAUCCGGGUUCGAGUCCCGGCUUCGGCA
rnacentral:tRNA from 1 species